AGUGCAGCUUUAAAUACAUAUAUUAUGAUUCAUGUCAAAUUGAAAUUCUUACUUCGAUUUUUUUAUAGUAAUCAGACUGUCUGUCCACCACUUUGAUUUCUUUAUAGUAAUCAGACCGCCUGUCCGCAUUUCUGUCACUGCAUUUUCUGAUUAAUGUAUUUUCUAAUCAAGAAUGCUUAGGCCCAAAGACCUCAAACUUAGUAGGUAGGUUGGUAAUGACCAGCAGAUAAAGCCUCUGUAUUUUGUAGUCAGUUGGUCUAAGUUCAUGGUUGUUGUGAUGACAAGCUGAAAAUCCAUUUCCGAUCAAUUACUGAAGAAUGCUUAGACUCAGAGAGUUCAAACUUGGUAGGCAUGUUGGUAAUGAUCAGCAGACAAACCAAAUACAAUUAGAGGUUAGUGAGUCAAACAACAUGGUUUUGGUGACCUCGAGCUGAAAGUCUGUAUCUGAUCAAUAACUGAAGAAUGCUUACAGGUAAGCCCAUAGACGAGUUGAUACCCACUUUAUCCACUUUACAGUGACUUUUCAUUUUCAUGUACAUAACUUCACUCUUUAAAAAUGUUACAGAUCAAUAUUUCCAAACUUCACGAGAAGGUAGGGUAUGUCAUCAUGAAAAUAUGUUACAUACACAAGGCUAUCUGUUCAUACAGACGAAGAUACUAAGGUCUAUCUGUCCAACGAGGCCUUUUAGGGACAUUUGUCAUGUUCCUGUGACAGCUCUUAUUACAUCGAUCCGACCUGUCAAUCAAACUAAUCAUUAUUGACCAAUGAGAAAGCUGCAAAUUAUUCACCGAGUCCCGUCCGCCAUCUUUACCCCCACACACAGCAGCGAUAACUGUUUACAACCGGACAUUUUAUUGAAGUUUUAAGACUUAUUUGUGAAAAUGGUUAAACGAUGCGGAUGGGGAAUAUGUUAUGCGGAUGAAAGGUAUCCGGAGGGACAAAAUGGAGGCCGAUUUAAACGAUUUCCGACCUAUAAUUCGACUUUGAGAAGUGCAAAUGCUGGAUAAAAGCCUGUGGACGGCCACACGAGAAACUGAAUUUUAACAGGAUAAACCAGCACGAAGAUGUCUGCUCGAAGCACUUUCAUGGAUGAAAUGGACCAUCUAAAGAGUAUCCUGACCCAUUAUCAGCUGAUGGCUGGAGAAUAAAAUCUUCAAGAAAACUCCCCACAAAGCGGUCACUUGGAAAGGAAACUUAUGGCAGCAUUUAUACACAAAAUGCACAAGUGUAUGCAUUUAAUACAAUAUAUCACAUGCCUAGAAAAGCUGGUCCAGGAUCCUGCAGACACUGUACCAGGAGUAGAAACACAGACCGAAUGUCCAUGGACAUCACCUUUGGAUAUGUUUGCACUUACCGCUCAGAAUGCUUCCCUAAAAGAAUAGUUGUCACAAAAAAAAGUCCAAGUUAGGGAAUUACAGUUUGCACUUUAAAGUGUUGUGAAAUUCAGAUUUUAAAGCAACUGGUGGGAAUAUAAACAAACUUUAAAUGUCGAUAUAGUUCUGCUCAAAGAAGCAAGAGUUAAAAUUUGUUUAAAUAUUAUACAGGAAUCACAUGAUUUUAUUUCUGCUUCUUUGAUAUAAUUGAAUAACUGUUAGUUUAUUCAUGUUUGGAAUAAAGCAUUGUAAAGUGAAUUGUGUGUUUGUAGUUUAUUUAAUUAAAUUUUAAAUUUGUAAACUUGGUCUGUGUAUCUAUCUGGCAAAGGACAGGUUUCGUUUUCCGACUGUGCUACUAUGACUUAGUUCACUGGAACUGGCUUGAUCUUUGAUCCCUUUGGCACAUUCCAUUAUUGGGGAAUACUUGUGUAACUUUGUUGAUCAGGAACAUGGGUGAAGUUGUGCAACUUGAGUUCCUAAAGUGACUUGAUUAAGCCAACCACGUGUGAACAAUGACCGCUCAAUCUAUAAAGAAAACAGAGAUUGUUGACAGAAGUUAUCAAAACAAAAGCAUGAUAUCAUGCUGUGAAAUUGGCAUCUUUAUCCUACACUGACCCGUGAAGUAUCAUUUGACUUUCCAGAUGUUAAAUGUUUAAAACGAGGCAGUAACUAGAAAUAUGAAAACCAAUAAAUUGAAAUACAACAUACAGUAUAUUACUUCUUUCUCUACUCGACGACUUGCAAAUAUUUUUUUCGCAUUCCGUAUUACGGUAUGAAAUGUAAAAGACAUGGCGAUCUAAAAUUGCUUAUAUUACAUAAUGUAUAUUUAAGAAUAAAGCUACCAGUAUAAUAAAAUUUGUAAAAUACAAUUGGAAAUCCACAUACCCUGGCUGCCUUUCAUGAGCAAUACGUAUAUCGUAUGUCCGGGAAUCCCUCUCCACAUCGACACUUAACAUAUGAGGCUUGUCGCUUUUUUUUUCUCAUUGAACGAAGGCCAGCAUCUCGCGGUUACAUGGCAGAUACUUUCCUCUUCCAAAACUUUAAUGUCAUGAAUACAACCUUGUAGAAAGUAAUUUAAUCCCUUUUCUAACACCUUUCUCGAUAAUUUGGCAUGAUCUGGUAAAUAUUUAACUGAUAUAUUGUCCGGAAUCUUCGCAAUCGGAAUCGGACUCUGAUGCUUUCGUAGCAGCGAGAGCCGCCAUUUUGAAUUUACGCUUGGGGCGCGUAGUAACAAUAUCUAAGGGGGCGGAGCUUAUCUUGGCAUCUCGGAUCGAUGUUUUGUCUUAUUAUGAUCAACUGCUAUAUUAAUUAUACAAAUUGCAUAUGGUAUCAUUCAUAUAGCACAUGCAUUAAAAAAACGUCAUUGAUACAUAUUAGUGUUUGAAUAAAACUCAUUGUAAAUUGAAUUUAAUCUAGUUAGAUACAUGUAGUACAAGUCCAUUUAAAUCCAUUAAAUGUUAAAUAUAUCAACUUUGCUUUAUAAUAAAAAGGAAUAAAUGAUUUUCAUUUGUUUAAUAGUCCAUGUACAAUACAGUCGAAAAAAGCAUCGUUAAAUGCUGUUCCUCACUUCUUAUUUAUUUCCUAACUCUGGAAUUUUUGCAAUAAUGAACUUGUG